GGGUUGUGAGGUUAAGCGACUAAGCGUACACGGUGGAUGCCCUGGCAGUCAGAGGCGAUGAAGGACGUGCUAAUCUGCGAUAAGCGUCGGUAAGGUGAUAUGAACCGUUAUAACCGGCGAUUUCCGAAUGGGGAAACCCAGUGUGUUUCGACACACUAUCAUUAACUGAAUCCAUAGGUUAAUGAGGCGAACCGGGGGAACUGAAACAUCUAAGUACCCCGAGGAAAAGAAAUCAACCGAGAUUCCCCCAGUAGCGGCGAGCGAACGGGGAGCAGCCCAGAGCCUGAAUCAGUAUGUGUGUUAGUGGAAGCGUCUGGAAAGGCGCGCGAUACAGGGUGACAGCCCCGUACACAAAAAUGCACAUAUUGUGAGCUCGAUGAGUAGGGCGGGACACGUGGUAUCCUGUCUGAAUAUGGGGGGACCAUCCUCCAAGGCUAAAUACUCCUGACUGACCGAUAGUGAACCAGUACCGUGAGGGAAAGGCGAAAAGAACCCCGGCGAGGGGAGUGAAAAAGAACCUGAAACCGUGUACGUACAAGCAGUGGGAGCACGCUUAGGCGUGUGACUGCGUACCUUUUGUAUAAUGGGUCAGCGACUUAUAUUCUGUAGCAAGGUUAACCGAAUAGGGGAGCCGAAGGGAAACCGAGUCUUAACUGGGCGUUAAGUUGCAGGGUAUAGACCCGAAACCCGGUGAUCUAGCCAUGGGCAGGUUGAAGGUUGGGUAACACUAACUGGAGGACCGAACCGACUAAUGUUGAAAAAUUAGCGGAUGACUUGUGGCUGGGGGUGAAAGGCCAAUCAAACCGGGAGAUAGCUGGUUCUCCCCGAAAGCUAUUUAGGUAGCGCCUCGUGAAUUCAUCUCCGGGGGUAGAGCACUGUUUCGGCAAGGGGGUCAUCCCGACUUACCAACCCGAUGCAAACUGCGAAUACCGGAGAAUGUUAUCACGGGAGACACACGGCGGGUGCUAACGUCCGUCGUGAAGAGGGAAACAACCCAGACCGCCAGCUAAGGUCCCAAAGUCAUGGUUAAGUGGGAAACGAUGUGGGAAGGCCCAGACAGCCAGGAUGUUGGCUUAGAAGCAGCCAUCAUUUAAAGAAAGCGUAAUAGCUCACUGGUCGAGUCGGCCUGCGCGGAAGAUGUAACGGGGCUAAACCAUGCACCGAAGCUGCGGCAGCGACGCUGAUGCGUUGUUGGGUAGGGGAGCGUUCUGUAAGCCUGCGAAGGUGUGCUGUGAGGCAUGCUGGAGGUAUCAGAAGUGCGAAUGCUGACAUAAGUAACGAUAAAGCGGGUGAAAAGCCCGCUCGCCGGAAGACCAAGGGUUCCUGUCCAACGUUAAUCGGGGCAGGGUGAGUCGACCCCUAAGGCGAGGCCGAAAGGCGUAGUCGAUGGGAAACAGGUUAAUAUUCCUGUACUUGGUGUUACUGCGAAGGGGGGACGGAGAAGGCUAUGUUGGCCGGGCGACGGUUGUCCCGGUUUAAGCGUGUAGGCUGGUUUUCCAGGCAAAUCCGGAAAAUCAAGGCUGAGGCGUGAUGACGAGGCACUACGGUGCUGAAGCAACAAAUGCCCUGCUUCCAGGAAAAGCCUCUAAGCAUCAGGUAACAUCAAAUCGUACCCCAAACCGACACAGGUGGUCAGGUAGAGAAUACCAAGGCGCUUGAGAGAACUCGGGUGAAGGAACUAGGCAAAAUGGUGCCGUAACUUCGGGAGAAGGCACGCUGAUAUGUAGGUGAAGCGACUUGCUCGUGGAGCUGAAAUCAGUCGAAGAUACCAGCUGGCUGCAACUGUUUAUUAAAAACACAGCACUGUGCAAACACGAAAGUGGACGUAUACGGUGUGACGCCUGCCCGGUGCCGGAAGGUUAAUUGAUGGGGUCAGCGCAAGCGAAGCUCUUGAUCGAAGCCCCGGUAAACGGCGGCCGUAACUAUAACGGUCCUAAGGUAGCGAAAUUCCUUGUCGG
rnacentral:rRNA from 1 species